GAUGAACGCUGGCGGCGUGCCUAAUACAUGCAAGUCGAGCGAACGGACGAGAAGCUUGCUUCUCUGAUGUUAGCGGCGGACGGGUGAGUAACACGUGGAUAACCUACCUAUAAGACUGGGAUAACUUCGGGAAACCGGAGCUAAUACCGGAUAAUAUUUUGAACCGCAUGGUUCAAAAGUGAAAGACGGUCUUGCUGUCACUUAUCGAUGGAUCCGCGCUGCAUUAGCUAGUUGGUAAGGUAACGGCUUACCAAGGCAACGAUGCAUAGCCGACCUGAGAGGGUGUACGGCCACACUGGGACUGAGACACGGUCCAGACUCCUACGGGAGGCAGCAGUAGGGAAUCUUCCGCAAUGGGCGAAAGCCUGACGGAGCAACGCCGCGUGAGUGAUGAAGGUCUUCGGAUCGUAAAACUCUGUUAUUAGGGAAGAACAUAUGUGUAAGUAACUGUGCACAUCUUGACGGUACCUAAUCAGAAAGCCACGGCUAACUACGUG
rnacentral:rRNA from 1 species